UGGUGAUCAAAAUUUUAGAGAGCUGGCGUGACCUGUCCACAUGGUAUGAUUUCCAAUAUGAAGACAGUGGGGCACGAUGCGAGGAUAAGGACUAAUUAUUUGAUGGGUUUUAUGCAAAUAAUUAUUACAUGAAGCUUGUGUGUCAAUAUCUUCUGUUAUUCGUUAUAUAUUCUCUUUCUUUCUUUCUUCUUUCUUCCAUUUUGAUGGCAAUAAAAUAAAUCACUAACCAUUGUUUUUAAUAUUUUACAAUACUGCCCGAUCAAUUAUCAUCCACGCAGCCACUAAUGAUCAAGCUAGAGGAAAAUUUUGUAGGUCAGGAGCAUAUUGUUCACAGGUGAUCAGACUCAUAAUUAAAUUUGUCAACAUGAUCGACUGUUUUUCUGGUA
rnacentral:lncRNA from 1 species